GCAAACCGUUUUGUCCUGCUGGUUUACCUGUAGGGCCCUCUACCUGGUGAGGAUGGACCAAGCCGAGCUUCCCUGGGUCUCAUCUCUUGUCUGCAUCUCAUCUCCGCAGUUUCUUUAAGCUUUUCCUCCCGGGACGACAAUCCCACCGAGUCUGCCAAGGGCAGGAGGAAGGCAUCAUGUGAGACAAGAUUGAAAGAAUGAGACUGAACUUGAAGAAAUGCAUCUGAACCCAGCUUGCAACUCUUCAGGCCACGUGGACUUGGGAAUUUUCACCAUCCCAAACAGAGGCGGUGUCCUUGGAAAACCGAACACUUCCCGAAGGAGAGGACUGUGCCAGGAGGACCCUCGUUAGUUGUUGAGUCAUUUGCGUUGGUUGAAGGCCAUCAUGGGACUUUGGAUCCGUGUCCGUGGAGCCCUGCAUGGCGCACGAGGCGUGGACCACACUGCGCCAACACCUGGAGUCACCCGACGGGCACUGGCCUCCUCUGUGGCCGCUUCCACGUGGGCUCUGCUGUCCCUCUCUGCACACCGGGUCACAUGCGCACUGAGGCCAACAGGAGCCUGCUGGACGUGCCCGCACCGUCUCUCGUCCCGUACGUGACCCCAGCCUGUGAGCUGGUCCCUCUCAGGUCCUCCCUCUCGUUGAGGGCUGGGCUUCUCUGAAAGGAGCUGCAGCUCCUCCUGGACCUCCCUCCCUCCCUCCAUCCCUCCCUGCUCCCUCAGCCCCGGUCCUGGGAGUCAUCUGUGCUUAAUCAGGCUCCUCGGGUGGGAAAGCUCCCUCCCUUGGCCCAGCCCUGCAAGGGGCCCUGCCCCGAGCGUGAACAGGCCCCUACCCACCCGGCAUGCUCACACUGCUCAGCUGAGGCCCAAGGAAAAGGUCUGAGGGGUCUCCCGGCUGCUGUUCCUCCUGGGAUGGUUUCUGCUCAGGACGGGGCCUGUCUUUGGAAGCUGGUUGCCAUUCCUUGAAAGGGAUGAUAAGGAAUGGGUUUUGUAGCCAAAGCCCACGGCCUGCUUUUCAGGGCUCUUCCAGCAGGAAGGCACUUCAAGCAGCUGGGCACUCCUGUGAGGCCCUGCCUGGCCCCGCGAUCCUCAGGGAGUGAUCCCCCCGCGGGCUUACCUGGGCUGUCAGCCGGGGAUGCACACCCUCGCAGCGUGUCCUUGCUGGGCCGGCUCAGCUUUCCUGCCACUAUUCUCCCCUGGAAAGGAAAGGCUCUUUCUUGUACUUGGAAGGCUUAGCAUUAAUCUCGGGGCCCCCUUUUAGCUGAUGAAGUGGUCCCUUGCAAGAAAAGGAAGCUCACGUGACCUCAGCACACGGGCAACGGAGAGCUGGCUUGAUGGACAUUUUCUAUGCUUUUCAUUAAUUGAAAUUCCAUUCUCAGAUGUUCCCUCUCCCUUCCUCUUUCUCACACGGACACACACGGCCACGGUUACCGUCGUUUGAAAGUUGCCUUGUUUGCUGCGUAACGCACAGCAACCGACGGCAUCGCUCUGUGUCAACGGCUCACUGUGUUCACAUACUUGCCCAAGUGUUGUACUUCAACUCAGAACAACCCUACGAGGCAGCCAGCUUUAGGAUCCCCAUUUUACAGCUGGGGAAACUGAGGCACAGAGAAGCUCAGUCACCUCCCAGGCCAUUUGCGGCCAGAGUCCAUAGGGCCGUGACCUCUCUCCUCCCCCUUGACCCUUCCGAGGUUGGGAAUACUGUCCUUUUAUAGGAUCAGGGCUUAGGUAAUGUGAGUCUGGAAGCCCACAAUCCAAUUGGCUAGCUCUGUUCCUAAACCAUUCUGGAAAUAACAUCGAUUUGUUGUUCUGGUAGAAUCAGGAGAAUUAUUUAGGGGUUAGCAAGAAACUUUUGAAAUGGUCUUGCCUUUUAGAGCUUGAAAAGUAGAUGAAAGGAAAUGUGUUACCCAAGUCCUUGGAGAAAUGGGGCUGCUGGUGUGUCGAGUCCAACACGGCAGAAGGUGCAAGGAUGAGAUCAGGACAGCAUUUCCGCGUGCUCCCCGAGCAUUUCAGCUCCGGGGCUCAGAGGCAGGGAUUCUGUCUCUUUGCUCCUGUUCGGUGCACAGGAGGGCGCUCGGGGUCUUAUUAGUUUAUGCAUUUUGUUAACCACCUGCUCUGGACUGUCCACCGUGCUAAACAGGGCGCGUACGGUGGCAAAGGGGAAUGCUGAUAUUCCUGUGCUCAUGGAGGCCAGGACUAAGGAGAGAAGAAUCUGCCUCUGGUCCAGACUCCAGGCUUGGGGUCCAGGAAGCACUGCCCCUAAGAGACGUGGGAGCUCUGCCCAGCUGCAGCCGAUUCCCCUGCAGGGAUCCCUGAGGCAGCAGGGCUGCAAGGCCUGAGCUGAGGUCGCCCCAGAGGCCUCGGAGACCGUGGUCCACCCAGCCGCUGGGGCAUGGGCCCCAGAAGAUCUGGAAACAAUUAACGCUGUUGGUAACUUGUUUGUCUCUCUUUUAUUUUCAUUUGGAGGACAAGAGGGAGAUGACAAGACUAUGGAACAGGAUCAGUCAACUGUUCAAACGAUGAAGUUCACCAGGAGUUGGCGUCGCUGGCCGGACGAGGCUGUAAGAAUUCAUCUGACCCACUUUACUUCCCCUCCCCGGCUCCGGAGGCCACUGACUUCCCUCAGCGGCUCCAGGAAGGUCCAGAAGCUGACAUACGAUCCCGCCUUCACGAUGUCUGCAAACCAGGCAUCUUACUUCGCGGUCACCAGCCACCAGGAACACAGGGGUUAAGCCCCUGCUCCUCCUCCCCGGACUUAAGGAAAGUCUGCGGAUGCCGUUACAGCAAAGCUGGACUUUAUCAGCCUUGGCCAGGAAGAACCAGGUGUGAGGCGUCUCCUUGACUGUUUCAGCUUUGCCCAUUGGAGCCGGCCGGGCAGAAAGUGGCCAAGCAGUUCCCUUUCCGAGGAGAUCCCCACGUGCCCUUCCUAUCAGUGCACGGUCCUAGGAUGGUGCCGUGCUGGGGGUCCCCUCGCCCCUGUGACACGGCUUCCUUCCUCGCAUGUUGUGUACCCCAGCCCUUAGCUCGGUGCCCGGCACCCCAGGGAGGGGGCGCUAUAAACACUCGCUAAUGACUGUGUGGAGGAUGGCCACCUUCUGCGGGGUGGGGAGCAAGCGUCCACGGUAGAGAGAGGGCUUCCUGGAGGCGUGGGUCAUGCUGAGCUCUGACAUGAGACCACAAGGCUCAUGCGCCCCUGACCCGUCAGCGUCCUGGCCCACCCUACUCUUCUAGAGAAGUCCAUGAGUGCUAGUUGGCACAGGAGAGAAUUCGGCGCCCUCGGGGUCCUGGGACACAAAGACGAGGAACCCUGAGGACUCAAGUUAGGACUGGCCGCUCCGUAGCAACUGCACCGCCUUCAUGCGGCAGCUCAGGGCUCUCCGGCGACCUGAGGGCGGGGCCCUGUUGCCAGUGACGGCUGAGCUGGGCUCUUCCCGCAGCUCAGUGCUCCCCGCUGCCUGUGGCCUUCCUGAUCUUCCCAGGGCACCAGCCCGACCCUUUGCAUUCCUCCAACUGUCCAACAAGAGGAGGUGGCAGAGAGCAAGACGACACAGCACCACACCAUACCAUAAUACCACACCUCACAAUGCUUCACAAUACCACACCUCACAACACACAACACCACACCUCACAACACCACACCUCACAACACCACA